rnacentral:lncRNA from 1 species
CGGAUGUGACAUCUUAAGCAACUUUAAGAUCUUCCAGCUUCCCUGUCCUCUGAGGGGAGAGCAACAGGCUGGCGUGUUGUAAGGAUUUGGCCUUAUGAUCCAUGACUCGGAGUUGCUGACCUCCAUGGCCAGGAAGCUGCAGGAGCUGGAGCAGCAGUUGAAGGCACGGAAUGAGGAGAUGCUGUCCAAGGAGCAGAAGAUCCUGGCCCUGGAGGAUUUGGUGCAGACCCUCCAGCAGCACCAGAGUAAGAAGCCCUUGGUCAGGCAGCACAACCAGGGAGGAGGAGCUGGAGACACAGUGCAUUCAGCUGCAACGGCAGGUUGGAGAGAUGGAGGUGAGAGCCCAAGGCUGGCGGAACAGCCGGCCAGGCAGCUCUCCCGAGAGCCUCGAGCGGCCCGGAAGCAUUUGCAGAAGCGCCCCCUUGGUAUUCUCCAAGCCCCUGUGUUUUCCUGCUCUGGGCUGACUCAGAGUUAAAGCUGGGGGUUGGGGGUGGGAAUCUGGCACCAUGACACAUUACUGCCUUUGGGGCUAAAUCAAACCUGAACACAGCCCACUCCUGCUUAAUAUACUCUCCACUCGCUCUGUUCU